rnacentral:misc_RNA from 1 species
GAUGAAGAACGUAGCUAAAUGCGAUAAGUAAUGUGAAUUGCAGAAUUCAGUGAAUCAUCGAAUCUUUGAACGCACAUUGCGCCCCCUGGUAUUCCGGGGGGCAUGCCUGUUCGAGCGUCAUUACACCACUCAAGCCUCGCUUGGUAUUGGGCGAUCCGCGGCCUUCUCUGGCCCGCGCGCCCCCAUGUCUCCGGCCGAGCCGUCCGUCUCUUAAGCGUUGUGGUCUAUCAGUUCGCUUGUGGAGGCCGGGCGUGUUCGCCGCCGCUAAACCCCCCUUCUCAAAGGUUGACCUCGGAUCAGGUAGGGAUACCCGCUGAACUUAAGCAUAUCAAUAAGCGGAGGA